GAGAAAGUCAGGAAGGGCGUACGGUGGAUGCCUAGGCUCUUACAGGCGAUGAAGGACGUGGUAAGCUGCGAUAAGCCGGGUAGAGGUGCAAACGACCUUUGACACCCGGAUGUCCGAAUGGGAAAACCCGGCAGGUUGAAGACCUGUCACCAUAUUGAUUAUGGAGCGAACGCGGGGAACUGAAACAUCUUAGUACCCGUAGGAAGAGAAAACAAACGUGAUACCCCUAGUAGCGGCGAGCGAAGGGGGCAUAGCCCAAACCGUAGAGGUAUUUGCUUCUACGGGGUUGUAGGACUGCCCUUAAUUGGUUAUAAAAGCGAAGCGGAACGAUUUGGAAAGAUCGGCCAUAGCGGGUGACAGCCCCUUAUGCGUAAGCUUUUUUAUCAAUGGCAGCACCUGAGUAUCUCGGGACACGUGAAAUCCUGAGAGAAUCCGGCGGGCCCAUCCGCCAAGGCUAAAUACUCGUAAGAGACCGAUAGCGAACCAGUACCGUGAGGGAAAGGUGAAAAGCACCCUGAUUAAGGGAGUGAAAGAGUUCCUGAAACCGUACGCCUACAAGC
rnacentral:rRNA from 1 species